rnacentral:rRNA from 1 species
GACGGGGCCCGCACAAGCGGUGGAGCAUGUGGUUUAAUUCGAUGAUACGCGAGGAACCUUACCUGGGCUCGAACGUAAGAUGACUGUAGGUGAAAGCUUACAUCUCUUCGGAGCAUUUUUACGAGGUGCUGCAUGGUUGUCGUCAGCUCGUGCCGUGAGGUGUCGGGUUAAGUCCCAUAACGAGCGCAACCCUACCUUUAGUUGCCAUCAGGUAAUGCUGGGGACUCUAAAGGAACUGCCUACGCAAGUAGUGAGGAAGCGGGGAUGACGUCAAAUCAGCACGGCCCUUACGUCCAGGGCUACACACGUGCUACAAUGGCCGAUACAGAGGGCAGCUACCUGGUGACAGGAUGCAAAUCUCCAAAGUCGGUCUCAGUUCGGAUCGGAGUCUGCAACCCGACUCCGUGAAGUUGGAUUCGCUAGUAAUCGCGCAUCAGCCAUGGCGCGGUGAAUACGUUCCCGGGCCUU